AAUCAAACCGGGAGAUAGCUGGUUCUCCCCGAAAGCUAUUUAGGUAGCGCCUCGUGAAUUCAUCUCCGGGGGUAGAGCACUGUUUCGGCUAGGGGGCCAUCCCGGCUUACCAACCCGAUGCAAACUGCGAAUACCGGAGAAUGUUAUCACGGGAGACACACGGCGGGUGCUAACGUCCGUCGUGAAGAGGGAAACAACCCAGACCGCCAGCUAAGGUCCCAAAGUCAUGGUUAAGUGGGAAACGAUGUGGGAAGGCCCAGACAGCCAGGAUGUUGGCUUAGAAGCAGCCAUCAUUUAAAGAAAGCGUAAUAGCUCACUGGUCGAGUCGGCCUGCGCGGAAGAUGUAACGGGGCUAAACCAUGCACCGAAGCUGCGGCAGCGAACGUAUCACC
rnacentral:rRNA from 1 species